UUUUUAGGGUUCCAUAGCCAAAUGGCAAAAAACGGAACCCUUAUAGAUUCGUCAUGUCUGUCCGUGUAUGUCACAGCCACUUUUUUCCGAAACUAUAAGAAGUAUACUCUUGAAACUUGGUAAGUAGAUGUAUUCUGUGAACCACAUUAAGAUUUUCACACAAAAAUAGAAAAAAAACAAUAAAUUUUGGGGGUCCCCAUACUUAGAACUUAAACUCAAAAAUUUUAUUUUCAUCAAACCCAUACAUGUUUCUAAUAUCAUUUUUUUCUAAACUGAAUAGUUUGCGCGAGAGACACUUCCAAAGUGGUAAAAUGUGUGUCCGCCCCCUGUAACUUCUAAAAUAAGAGAAUGAUAAAUCUAAAAAAAAUAUAUGAUGUACAUUACCAUGCAAACUUCCACCGAAAAUUUGUUUGAGCGAGAUCUGGUAAGUAGUUUUUUUUUAAUACGUAAA